GAUGAAGAACGUAGCGAAAUGCGAUACUUGGUGUGAAUUGCAGAAUCCCGUGAACCAUCGAGUCUUUGAACGCAAGUUGCGCCCGAAGCCAUUAGGCCGAGGGCACGCCUGCCUGGGCGUCACACGUCGUUGCCCCCCCAUCUACUCCUUCGGGAUUGCGGGGGGCGGAUGAUGGCCUCUCGUGCGCCUCGUCGCGCGGUUGGCCUAAAUGCCAAGUCCUCGGCGACGCACGCCACGACAAUCGGUGGUUGCGAAACCUCGGUUGCCUGUCGUGUGCGGUCGUCGCGCAUCGAGGGCUCGAAAAAAUUGCCGGGCUUCGGCUCGACUUUCAACGCGACCCCAGGUCAGGCGGGGUUACCCGCUGAAUUUAAGCAUAUCAAUAAGCGGGAGGA
rnacentral:misc_RNA from 1 species